UGGAAGUUAAAAAGCGUAACAAGGUCUCCGUUGGUGAACCAGCGGAGGGAUCAUUACUGAGUUACCGCUCUAUAACCCUUUGUGAACGUACCUAACCGUUGCUUCGGCGGGCAGGGGAAGCCUCUCGCGGGCCUCCCCUCCCGGCGCCGGCCCCCACCACGGGGACGGGGCGCCCGCCGGAGGAAACCAAACUCUAUUUACACGACGUCUCUUCUGAGUGGCACAAGCAAAUAAUUAAAACUUUUAACAACGGAUCUCUUGGUUCUGGCAUCGAUGAAGAACGCAGCGAAAUGCGAUAAGUAAUGUGAAUUGCAGAAUUCAGUGAAUCAUCGAAUCUUUGAACGCACAUUGCGCUCGCCAGCAUUCUGGCGAGCAUGCCUGUUCGAGCGUCAUUUCAACCCUCAAGCACCGCUUGGUUUUGGGGCCCCACGGCCGACGUGGGCCCUUAAAGGUAGUGGCGGACCCUCCCGGAGCCUCCUUUGCGUAGUAACUAACGUCUCGCACUGGGAUCCGGAGGGACUCUUGCCGUUAAACCCCCAAAUUCUUUACAGGUGACCUCGGAUCAGGUAGAAUGCCCAGUU
rnacentral:rRNA from 1 species